UUUAUGUAAAUAUAUAUAUUUAAUACAUCUACUUUAUCCAUUCAUCGAUCAGUGUUCAUUUAGGUUGUUUCUAUAUCUUGGCUAUUGUAAAUAAUGCUGAUAUGAACAUGGAAGUGCCCAUACAACUUCAAGAUUUUAUUUUCAUAUCCUUUGGAUGUGUACCCAGAAGUGGGAUUGCUGGAUCAUAUGAUAAAAGCAUGGAUAUAAAGAAGAAUUUCAUUUGUUCCACAUGGAAGAUACAAAAUAUAUUUGAGUGAUUGGAUGGAUGGAUCUUUGUGGAUAAUCAUUAAUCAAAUUUACAUAACCAUUUUCAUGAAUAAGGGAAAAUUUGCUAUUCUAAGUUGACAAAAAAAGGGGGCUACAGAGGGUUUCACUGAGAAGAUAAGUUGUAAUGCAAGGAUGUAUUAACUUGGAAGUGGAAAAGUGGAAGGAGAAAAGCGAUGGCAAGGCGAUGGUUGGAAAUGGGCGAGUGCCAUGAUCUGUUGAGGAAAUGGCAAAGAAAAAAGCUCCAGCGGCCAGAGUAACACGUAAGUGUUACUUGUUGGUGGAAGGAAGGCUUGGUGGAAGGAAGGAUUGAUGGAGAGACAAGGGAUCUCAUGGGAUCCAGUAUUCUAGAGAAACAUCCUGAGAAAGUUGCCUAACAGAUAAUUCAGUGUGGAGGAAGCUAGCAUCCAGGCUAGAAGCCCAUGUGGUGAGGAACUGAGACCUCACUCACCAACAGCCAUAUGAGUGAGCAAUCUGGAAGUGGUACCUUCAGCCCCAGUUGGGCCAUCAGAUGAAACUGCAGUGUCUGCCAGUACCCUAACUACAACCUUAUGAGAGUCUCUGAGCCAGCGCCACCCAGAUAAGUCUCCUCAGGCCAAGGAAACAAAAGCAAAAAUAAACUACUG